rnacentral:lncRNA from 1 species
AGACAGCCCUGUUGUAGUGUGGCAGGAAAACCCAGCACUGGGAAGAGCAACCAGGACCACAGUCUUCCAUGUCUUCAGUCUUACUUGUGAAACCUGCAUUCCUGGAGGCUAGCAAGAGGGAAAGAACCACAUGCAUAGAUCUACCAUAAGCAAUCCCCACCCUCUCCUGACAUCCAUUCUGCAGACAUAAAACUAUAAAACAAAACCUUCUGGAACAAAACAUGAGGGAAAUAAUGGAUCCAGGUUAAGCAAUCAGCUAUGAGCAAGAUACCUUUGAGAAGUGUAAAGAAAAACCAGAAAUAAAAAGCAGAGGUUAAAGAAUGUGCUCAAGGUUACUCUGUAAGGAAGUAAUGGAGCCAGAAUGCACGGACCAUCUGGAACCCUGAUACCAUCAGGAACACAAAAAUGGAUGCUAAUCAAAGAAGCCUCUUGAUCUCUUGAUCUUCCUGCUGCCUCAUUUCUUUAUUUAAUAGCAGGUGGACAUCCACCUCAGAGAGGGCUGAGAUACAGGCAGCUGUGGCAGAGCCAUCUGGCAAGAUUCUGCAUGGCCCUCUGUUUCAUGCCCUUAUUUUUAUUUAUUUAUGUUUUCUGAAACAGAGUCUCGCUCUGUCGUCCCAGCUGGAGUGCAGUGGCACUAUCUCAGCUCACUGCAACCUCCAUCUCCCCAGCUCAAACAAUUCUCCUGCCCCAGCCUCCUGAGUAGCUGGGAUUACAGGCAUGUGCCACCACGCCUGGCUAAUUUUUAUAUUUUUUUUAGUAGAGAUGGGGUUUCAUUAUGUUGGCCAGGGUGGUCUCAAACUCCUGACCUCAGGUAAUCCACCUGCCUCGGCCUCCCAAAGUGCUGGGAUUACAGGCAUGAGCCACUGUGCCUGGACUUCAUGCCCUUAUUCUUACUGUAACUUUAAACUGGCCUCUGAAUUUGGACUUGCUUGGACCUCCAAGCUCCUCCUUGUCUUCCCGGCCAAUCCAGCCCUCAGAAUUGCUAGCUGGGUUUGUUCUCCAGUCAUUUCCUAGUUUCCAGAUAUCUAUUCUCAUACUGCUGUGGACUCCAGUCCAGCACUAGGCCACUCCCUCAUAUUCUCUUCCCACUUACAAGGCAGGGUAGAGAACAUGGAAUCUGAAAGUUGAUCUCCUCCCCUGGAAGCUCACAGCAUAACCAGAAAUUCAAAACGCAGAUUUGCGAAACAACAGAUCACAAUACCAAGACAGCUUGUAAACAUUGAGAAUGUGUGAAGAUUGAACAAAGAAGCAGAGAGUUCAAAGGAAUUCAACAUAAAUCUAGGCUAUUUUCUAGGAGCCUGGUGACAGCUGAGCUUUCCUCUUACUGACAAGUCCAGAGCAAUGCAACCUCCCCAGUGGCCAGAGUUUUGACUUUCAAUACAGAUUAGCUAACUACCGACCAAUGAACAAGCCCAUAUGCUUUUAGCAGGUAGUAUGCAAAAGAAGCCCACAGGGCUUCUUUAUUUAUUUAGCUGGAUAAUGCGUCUCCCUAGGAUCUGUGCAGGGAGGAUAGCUACUUCUGAGGAUGCAAUGACAUGGCUUUUAGCUCAAACCUUGACAUGCCACCCCUCCCUCAUUCCUUUUCUUACCCCACAAUCAUUACCUUAAAAAGAAUUUUCACUUUAGAAAGUGACCUUGCUGGGCUGAAGCUUGAAGUUUUAAAAGCCCCCUAAGGUUUCAUUUUGAAAAGUCAUCAUGGACUUUAGAUUGACUUUCUCUUGAAGGCAGCUUAAACCUUGUUCAUUUGGGAGCACAAAAGAGAAGGUUUAGGAAUCCCAAGGCUUUAAUUGCCAGCUGUCUUAUUUCUCUGUUCACAUUUUUUUUCUUCUCUCCAGGAAGACUAAGAUGAGUGAAAUAAUUUCUUUCUUUUUAGUUAUCAUUGUAACAUUCAGGUUUUCCAUUACUGUCAAUUUCUUGAAACUUGUCUCAUUAGCAUUUUCAGAAGAGUUUAAAAAAACCUUUCAUCAAGGAAAAAAACGUGCAUGAUAUCUAAAUGCAAGUAAGUUGUCACGGGAUUUCAUUGACAUAAAUUUGUCCUCUCUUGUCUUCAUUUCUGCUUUCUCAGUUCCUCUUUUGAUAUCUUACAGCAAGCUUGUCCAACGCAGCCCAGAAUGGCUUUGAAUGAGGCCCAACAAAAAUUCACAAACUUUCUUAAGAACAUUAUGAGAUUGCUUUUUGGGAUUUUUUUUUUUUUAAGCUCCAUCAGCUAUCGUUAGUGUUAAUGUAUUUUAAUGUAUUUUAUGUGUGGCCCAAGACAAUUCUUCUUCCAAUGUGGCUCAGGGAAGCCAAAAGAUUGGACACCUCUGUUUAGAGCCUAGGAACCAUACCCAUGGCUCUUUACAGACUUGGAAAUAAGUGCCCUAGAUUAACAAAUAAAGCAUCUUAGAAGCAAGGUGUAAAGACGGACUGUGGGGCUUUUAUACCCCCUAAAACUUCUAAGAACAAAGAAAGAAAUGCCAAAAAGCCCAAUAGAAGCAACAAUAUAAAUAACAAAAUAACAUUCUAGAGGAAAUCAACCCAUGACUACAGGGUUUUCUGCAAGCUUCACAUAUUUUGUGUGUUUUUAAAAGAAGGAGAGCUGGGUUAGUGAGCAAACCUAAGGAGUCCUUAUUGCCAAUACAACUAGCAGGUAAGAGCUCCCUGGUGUUACACCUCAGUGAUGGAGAUUAAUCAACUCUUUAUUUCUCCUAACCCAAAAGUGCUUUUGUAAAUGCACAUGGAUUAGCACUAAGGAGCUAAUUAUCUUAUAAGCUGAGAUCACUUUUCCAAAGAGACAAACUCUCCCAGGAUCUAGAGCAGCAGCCUCUUUUAUAGCAUUUCCUGGAAAUGGAGACAUUGACUUGGAAGUUGCAUCAGCAAAUUGAGCAUGCAUUCUCCUGUGGGAACAUUGCAAGUUAGGAAAUGUGGGUCUCGUAUGUGGCCACAGAGAGAGAAGACAUGCAGACUGAAUGGUUUUCAAGCCAAAAAUGCAGAAUUGGCAAAAUCUAGAGUUGCUCACUCCUUAUCUCCUAGGUGAUGUUUUCUUCCAGCUCCAUUUGUUAGAAAUUGUGUAGUACCCACAGGACAUAGAAAGUAUUGUUUUAAGAGAGCCAGCAUUUUUGAAACAGGAAAGGUUCCCUUGUCCCCCUUGCAGGGCAUGCAAUGGGGGUGUGGCUCACUUCUUCAGUGCCCCGCUGCUCAAACCUCUAGGGGAGCAUACAGAUGGGCAGGCUGUGGGGCUCCAAUCCCACGGCAGUGUCUCGGGGUGAAAGUUUACAGGUGAAGCCCCAGUGGGCAUGUAUUAUAAGAUGCUCUUUUAGUUUGUCGUCUAUAGGCGGCUUGUAUUAACCAGCUCAGUUAGACCCUCUACCUUGUCACAAGGACAGAAGGUUUUCUGUAUCCCGGGUUCUUGCCUUGGUGUACUGGAAGAAUCGGAUCACAUGUGGGCUUGGAGAAUGAGUGCAAAGUUUUAUUAAGUGGAAGUAGCUCUUAGCCAAUGGGGGAGCCAGAAGGGAGAUGGUUUUCCCCUGGAUUUGGGCCACUCAGCAGCCCCGGCUCGCCUCGGACUGCCCUGGCCGAACUCUUCCUCAUCCUGCCAGCUGAUGGCCUGUCAGUGGGCCAGCCUCUGUCAGUGUGUUCUUCUGCUCACUAGCUUCUCUCGACGUCCUCUCGACGACCACUUGUUUCUUCUUCCACAGAUGUGUUCCUCUGGACAUCUGGCCUCCUGUGUGAGUGCUUGCUAGGGUUUCAUGUUUUUAUAGGCCCAGGAUGCGGAUGUGGCCCACCAGGGUGAUCUUGGGAAAUACAACAUUUGGGCAGGAAAUUCCUGUCCUCACCUAGGCCCGUAGGGGUGGAACCCUAGCCAGGGGCCCGCCUUUCUCUACCCAGCACUUCCCUUCCCCCUCUUCCUUAUUAUUUAAAGGGACCAUGCUCUUCCCUUCCCAGUACUCUCGUAUCAUUUUGACUGGAAAUUUCUGCUCUACCACUCUACUGCAAGAGAGAAGGUAGAACCUAGAGUACGAGUUGCUCACAAUCUGAGAUGAGCAGCUUCCUAGGCAGGGCUUUCUAAAUGUGGUGAAAACAGACAUUGAAGAGGGCACCUGGUUUUAAGCCUCUGUCAUUUCACAUACCCUUUAUUUACAAACUCUACUUUUUGUAUGCCCAUUGAAGUUUUACCUUGUUUUGUGAAAGAAAUUAUUUUGUCUAAUGAGGUUUAAAAAAUCCAUCUUCUGCAAUCCAUCAUAGGCUUCUAAAUUUUUUCCCCUAAUUCAAAAAAUAUUCAUUGACUACUUGCUAUGCUCCAGGCAUAGUUCUAGACACUGAGGAAUCAUUCAUGAACAAAAUUAACCAAAUCUCUGCCUUCAGGGAGUUUCCAGGCAAGGACAAAUUACAAAACAAAUAAAUUAUUAAGUUAUUUGAUGUAUUAGAAGGUGAUAAACAUUAUGGGAAUAAAUGAAUCCUAAAAGGAGGUUAGAGAGUUGAGGAAGGGGAAGGUUUCAUUUCAAAUGGGGUGAACAAGACAGUUUCACUAUAAUGAUGACAUUUGAAGAAGGAGAGGGAAUGAGACAUGUGGCUACCUGGGGAAGGUGGGGUGCGGGGCAGUGCGGGAAAUGAUCUAAGCAGAGGGAAAAGUACAAGCAAGCACCCUGAGAAGAGUUCAUGCCUGUAGAACAAUGCAUGAGGGGGAGAUGCAUAAGGGGUCACAUUGAACUUGGUAGCUCACUGUGAAGGUUUUGACUUUUUAUGUGAAGUAGGAUGGGACUCCUUGGAGAGUUUUCAUCAGAAGAGUAACAUGAUCUGACUUAAUAUUUUUAAAAGAGCUUCUGGCUCUAAUGUUAAAGCUAGACGCUAAGACGAUAGAGGUCAAAACAUGAUUUUGUAUUUUUCUGGCAAUUAAGAUAAAAUACAUUAGGUAAAAUAAAUUGGGUGGGCAGGCAUGCAGGGUUACAUCUAUAUAAUCUGUCUUCAAAUGCUUGUCUUGACUUCCCAGAUGCAAAUCUUUUUAUAAAGUCACCCUUCCCUCUUAAAUUUCCCAGAGUUUGAACCUGGAUCAUUCUUUAUCAGAAUAAUAUAGUUGUACUUUUUAUUGCUCUUGAAAAAUUAAAAGAGCCUAUAACCUUAAGGCCUUUUUCUUAAUGCAGAAAAGUAGAAGUUUUAACUAGUUUCUCUAAAUGCCUAAGAAUAUAAGAAGCAUUUUGAGACAGCUAAUGACCUGUAUAAGAUAAGAUAUCUUAAGUGUUCUGGCACAGAUAUUCCUAAGAACCCAAUUUGCUAACAAAUACAGCAGUGGCCAUAAUUCUAUAAAUGGGAAUAGUGGUAGGGAACCUAGUGGUCACCAUCCCAUUUUACAGAUGGAGAAGCAGCCCAAGCUCACACAACUAAGAAGUGGCAGAGUUGAACUUCAACUCUGCUCUGUCUAGCUAAAAGCCUUUCACCAGUGGUUUCUGGCUAGAGUAUUCUGCAGCUUCUUUUGUAGGAAGCUUAUUUUAAAGCAUGUCAAGAAUCUAAAUUAGCUUCUUAUUCCACAUUCUACACUUCCUUAGGAAACAAACUUUUAUUUCUCCCUUUAAAUAAAAAAAGCAAAACAAAAAGACAAGGGGUAUCAUUGGCCAUCAUAAUGGGGAGAGAAGUUGGAGACAGAAAGGCUAAAAUCAAUCAAGCUGAGAGGCCUGAAAACUAAUGCCUGUCCCAUGGUCCCCUCUUAAAUUGUCUAGUCACAGCACAGGACAGGCACCACAUGCCAAGUAACAUUACCCAAAGAUGAACCAAACCUGAAAAGGCAGCUGACUUUGCCUUCCCCAGUGCUAAAACUUGUUAAAGGAAUUUACUAAGUCUCAGAGGGUGUGAACUGAAAUAAUCUCCUUCAUCCUGAACUGAAAGAAGUGAUAAAAACCAAGAGACAGCCAAUGGCCUGGGUAGGGAGCAGUUGGCUUUCAGAAAAUAAAUUGAACACGUACAGACAACUCACACUUCCAACAAUUCCCCUCUGAAGAUGCAGGUGUCCUUCUGGGUAAAGUCCAUCAAACCUGACCUUUAAAAAAACAGAAUGAUUGGCUAAUUAUCAUCAACUGUUUUUUAAAUCAAUCUGUCAGAAUUCAAAUAGAGCAAUUUUCAGGGUAUUCUAAAAACUGAAUUUAAAUAAAAAAUAGCAAUUAUUUCAGAAUGACGGUAGGAGUCAUGGUGGCCCUUGCAGUACCUGUUGCAACCUUGUGUGGGAAUCAUUCCUGAGCCUGACUUUCCCGCUUGGGACACAGAGAAUGCAAGACCAGGCAGGCAGCUGCUGAUUUGGUACCAGUCACUUCAGGAAAUCAAAGAAAGCUGGAAAGUUGUUGGGAGCUAGUUUUGCUGGAGAGCUCUCAGAAAGAGGCGCCCAUCAUGACUGCCCUGGGGUUUGCUUGAGAAGUAACCAGACUCCCAGAGCAGGGGGAAAAGAGGCACCUGACCUGAAAAUAAAGAUUUGAGGCUCUGAGGAACAGUUUCAGGUGCUGUAGAAGGGAGCAGCAGGUUCUAGGGGAACCAAAGGGUUCAGAGAAGCAACCUCCUCUUCCUGCUACUGCCACAAAGACUCACCUUCAAGGGAAUGUCUUGCACUGCCUGAACAUAAAAAUUACUCUAAGUAGGAAAAAGUGUGUUUAUUCUCUGAAAAAAGAAAAUUCACAAUAUUGAGUGCUCAGAUUUCUCCCUCUCAGGCUGUCAUCUAUAUGCACAAAGUGUUUUGACUUUACAGUUAAAAGAAAAUCCCAAGGGUAAAAUAGUUUUUACUUUUUUAAGACACGUGUUUUCUAUUUUUUUCUCUUUUCUUGUGUUAAAGUUGGAAAUGAGUUACGAAAAAAAGAAGUACUUGUUUAUUUCCAGAUGGAGUGGGUUAAAGAGAGAAAGGGAGGAGCUCACCAGGAUUGAUAUGGGGACACUGGGUAGCCUCCGGACACCUCCAGAAGAAGGGAUUAUUGAGAAAGUAUAUUAUAUAUUUAAAAACAUUUUCUUAAACACCAUGGGGGAAGGGGAUGAGGUUGGGGAAUACGUUUUUACUUCUAAACAACCAUGUAUUCCAGAGUUGUCAAAUAAACAUUAUUUUUAUUUCA